rnacentral:rRNA from 1 species
AACGAACGCUGGCGGCAUGCCUAACACAUGCAAGUCGAACGAGACCUUCGGGUCUUGUGGCGCACGGGUGCGUAACGCGUGGGAACCUGCCCUUAGGUUCGGAAUAACUCCCCGAAAGGGGUGCUAAUACCGGAUAAUGUCUUCGGACCAAAGAUUUAUCGCCUUUGGAGGGGCCCGCGUUGGAUUAGCUAGUUGGUAGGGUAAAAGCCUACCAAGGCGACGAUCCAUAGCUGGUCUGAGAGGAUGAUCAGCCACACUGGGACUGAGACACGGCCCAGACUCCUACGGGAGGCAGCAGUGGGGAAUAUUGGACAAUGGGCGAAAGCCUGAUCCAGCAAUGCCGCGUGAGUGAUGAAGGCCUUAGGGUUGUAAAGCUCUUUUACCCGGGAUGAUAAUGACAGUACCGGGAGAAUAAGCUACGGCUAACUCCGUG